AUGUCUUUGUUUUUUCUGAUACAAACGCAUCAGAGAACGCCUAAAAAACAAAUCAGAGAGCACGUUCAUCCAUCUCAAUUAAAAUUAAAAAAAAUACUAAUUACUGUGGACUCGAGCAAUUCUUAUCGCUUGAAGGUUUGCUUUGGUGUUUUUUCGCGCUAAGUUGGGAUUCAUGGAGAUUUAUCCCUGUUGGUUUAUUCGGCUGGUGGCUUUAUCCAGGAGGAACAUCGUCUUGGUUUCACUCCAAGAUCUCAGUUUGCAUCGGGAUUUCAGUUCUCACCAGGAGGUUUGGGCGGAGCUUGCGCUUCGUUCACUAAAAAAGAAUGGGAUCCGGAUCCGGAAUUUUAGCUCCUUCCUUUUCUUGCUGGUUGGGCCCUCACAGACAAAUAUUAUAAUUACAUGUGGAAAAAUCAGGGUAUGUGGACAGAAGCUCCUAAAAGGAAAGACUGGGAAAUGAAGGGUGAAUGAUGGCUUGGAUUUCAUGAUGGCUUAGGCUAUAAGGGAAAGGGACUUUAGUCUGCAGAGACGUGGCCGCCACCAGAAAAUCUGGCUUGCUUUUAGGAGUCCUUUCUUCUGGAUUGUAUGUGUUCUUAUUAUGCUACAUUAAAUGCAACGCCCACUUGGUUAGAUUUGAUUGAGAGAGCAGGUGGCUUGGCAUGGAUUAAAAGGCUUUUUAUAAUUCUUAUUUACACAUGGCUGGUCUGCUUGGAUUUCUCUGUGCUGGUACGUUUUUCUUUCCAAGAAUUAAGGUGUGGGCAUGCAUUUGGAUGUCUCAGUUGAGAUAGUUGGGAGUGGGUUGGUUCAACAUGAUGAUGAAAGGAAAAAAGGA